GGCUCAGGAUGAACGCGUAGCGGCAGGCUUAAUACAUGCAAGGUCGUGGGGCAGCAUGAGUAGCAAUACUUGAUGGCGACCGGCAAACGGGUGAGGAACACGUACACAACCUUCCUCAGCGGGAAUAGCCCAGAGAAAUUUGGAUUAAUACCCCAUAAUAUAUUUGAUAAGGCAUCUUAUUAAUAUUAAAGCUUCGGCACUUGAUGAUGGGUGUGCGGCUGAUUAGAUAGUUGGCGGGGUAACGGCCCACCAAGUCUACGAUCAGUAGCUGAUGUGAGAGCAUGAUCAGCCACACGGGCACUGAGACACGGGCCCGACUCCUACGGGAGGCAGCAGUAAGGAAUAUUGGACAAUGGACGAAAGUCUGAUCCAGCCAUGCCCGCGUGAAGGAUUAAGGUCCUCUGGAUUGUAAACUUCUUUUAUAUGGGACGAAAAAAGGGCAUUCUUGUUCACUUGACGGUACCAUAUGAAUAAGCACCGGCUAACUCCGUG
rnacentral:rRNA from 1 species